rnacentral:rRNA from 1 species
UAAGGUGAUUAUAGCGAUAGGGCGCACCUCUUACCAUUUCGAACAGAGACGUUAAGCCUAUUUGCGCCAAUGGUACUACACUUGUGGGAGAGUAGGUCGUCGCCUUUU